UCCCCCUUAGCUCAGUUGGUAGAGCGAGAGACUGUUAAUCUCCAGGUCCGAGGUUCGAGUCCUCGAGGGGGAG
rnacentral:tRNA from 1 species